rnacentral:rRNA from 1 species
UGAAAGCGGGGGAUCGCAAGACCUCGCGCGAUUGGAGCGGCCGAUAUCAGAUUAGGUAGUUGGUGAGGUAAAGGCUCACCAAGCAACGAUCUGUAGCUGGUCUGAGAGGACGACCAGCCACACUGGAACUGAGACACGGUCCAGACUCCUACGGGAGGCAGCAGUGGGGAAUUUUGGACAAUGGACGCAAGUCUGAUCCAGCCAUUCCGCGUGCAGGAUGAAGGCCCUCGGGUUGUAAACUGCUUUUGUACGGAACGAAAAGGUUUGUCUUAAUACGAUGAGCUCAUGACGGUACCGUAAGAAUAAGCACCGGCUAACUACGUG